rnacentral:pre_miRNA from 1 species
UGAAAGUUAACCCUAUGGAGUUGGAACGUUUGCCUACGUUUGCCGCUAGGGGCGGUGUUCCAGCUGCUUACAUAUUUGGGUUA